rnacentral:rRNA from 1 species
GACGAACGCUGGCGGCGUGCCUAACACAUGCAAGUCGAGCGAAGUAUAUUUAAGUGAAGUUUUCGGACGGAACUUAAAUAUAUCUUAGCGGCGGACGGGUGAGUAACGCGUGAGCAACCUGCCUUUCACAAAGGGAUAGCCUCGGGAAACUGGGAUUAAUACCAUAUGAAACUUAACUUUCGCAUGAAAGAUAAGUUAAAGCGAAUAAGCGGUGAAAGAUGGGCUCGCGUCCUAUUAGCUAGUUGGUGAGGUAACGGCUCACCAAGGCGACGAUAGGUAGCCGGCCUGAGAGGGUGAACGGCCACACUGGAACUGAGACACGGUCCAGACUCCUACGGGAGGCAGCAGUGGGGGAUAUUGCACAAUGGAGGAAACUCUGAUGCAGCGACGCCGCGUGAGUGAAGAAGGCCUUCGGGUCGUAAAGCUCUGUCCUAGGGGAAGAUAAUGACGGUACCCUAGGAGGAAGCCCCGGCUAACUACGUGCCAGCAGCCGCGGUAAUACGUAGGGGGCGAGCGUUGUCCGGAAUUACUGGGCGUAAAGAGUUCGUAGGCGGUCUGAUAAGUCAGAUGUGAAAGGCGUAGGCUUAACCUAUGUAAGCAUAUGAAACUGUCAGACUUGAGGUAAGGAGAGGAAAGUGGAAUUCCUAGUGUAGCGGUGAAAUGCGUAGAUAUUAGGAGGAAUACCAGUGGCGAAGGCGACUUUCUGGACUUAAACUGACGCUGAGGAACGAAAGCGUGGGGAGCAAACAGGAUUAGAUACCCUGGUAGUCCACGCCGUAAACGAUGAGUGCUAGGUGUCGGGUAGAAAUAUUCGGUGCCGCAGCUAACGCAAUAAGCACUCCGCCUGGGGAGUACGUACGCAAGUAUGAAACUCAAAGGAAUUGACGGGGGCCCGCACAAGCGGUGGAGCAUGUGGUUUAAUUCGAUGCAACGCGAAGAACCUUACCUGGGCUUGACAUGCUGGUGGUAGGAACCCGAAAGGGGGACGACCUUAGGGGUAACUCUAAGGAGCCAGCACAGGUGCUGCAUGGCUGUCGUCAGCUCGUGCCGUGAGGUGUUGGGUUAAGUCCCGCAACGAGCGCAACCCCUAUCCCCUGUUGCCAUCAGGUAAAGCUGGGCACUCUGGGGAAACUGCCGGCGACAAGCCGGAGGAAGGUGGGGAUGACGUCAAGUCCGCAUGGCCCUUAUGUCCAGGGCUACACACGUGCUACAAUGGGCGCUAUAGAGGGUAGCAAACCCGCGAGGGUGAGCCAAUCCCUAAAAAGCGCUCUCAGUUGGGAUCGGAGUCUGCAAUUCGACUCCGUGAACCCGGAAUCGCUAGUAAUCGCGCAUCAGCUACGGCGCGGUGAAUACGUUCCCGGGCCUUGUACACACCGCCCGUCACACCACGAGAGCUGGCUUCAUCCGAAGUUGGUGAGCUAACCCGUAAGGGAGGCAGCCAACGAAGAUGGGGCUGGUGAUUGGGGUG